rnacentral:rRNA from 1 species
UACGUAGGGGGCAAGCGUUGUCCGGAAUCAUUGGGCGUAAAGCGCGUGUAGGCGGCUCGAUAAAGUCCGCUGUGAAAGUCCAGGCUCAACCCUGGAAUUGCCGGUGGAUACUGUCGAGCUCGAGUCCGGAAGAGGCGAGUGGAAAUUCCUGGUGUAGCGGUGAAAUGCGCAGAUAUCAGGAGGAACACCAAUGGCGAAGGCAGCUCGCUGGGACGGUACUGACGCUGAGACGCGAAAGCGUGGGGAGCAAACAGGG